UGAAACCCGAGCUGCCCUUACCAUGCUUCCAGGUGCGAAGGACCCGCUGCCAGGACCAUCAAGGCCGUCCACGCCGUGGGACUCAGACACCAUCUUUCUCACUUUCCAGAGGAGGAAUAUGGGCAGGGGAAUGUCUGGGCUGGUCAGGUGACUUGGCAAGACCCAGGAAAAGGCUGGACCUAGGACUGACCCCAGAGUUUCUACACCCAAAGCGCCACGGUGCUUUGAUGGCUGCACUUAGGCAGGCAAUUUAGGAUAGACAGACUCGCAGAAGGCGGGGAAAGCUGGUGGUGAUGGAGCACAGCUAAGAUACUGUAGAGGGUCUUGCUGUAAGAAAGAGAAUCUGGUAUUUCUGGGAACUGUGCCUGUAAGUGGUGGUGAUGCGUCUGCGGGAAUCACAGGACAGGCUGUGGAAACAGUGAACCCCUAAGAUUCAGGACUUUUCGUUAGGGUGUUUGGAGGCUGAAAGUUCCGCCUUUUCGACUCUUCAGAUGAAGGGAAAAAGGGCUAGGCCCUUGGAGCCGGGAAGACAAGGAGAUGCAUGUUCCCCCUACCUGCCAAUUGAUAACGAUCCACCCCCACCCCUUGGUAUCUCCUAGUAGCCAGGACCUGAGUGUGUACUCACGUGGCUUGCGCAUCGGUUCAGCAUCCAUCUCUGUGACUGUCUCACAGGGACCCGCAGGAGGCUCCGAUCCCUCCUGCCUUCUGUCGCCGCCGCCGCCACCACCGCAACUACCCGUAUUGUGAACUUCCGAGCCUAGAGGUUCUGGGACCAGGCUCAGAAACUGCAGACCCAAGGUCUGGGAUAGCCUCCCAGCCUCCCCGACUGAGCUUUCCUCUGGGCCAUCCCUGCGAGCCAGGUUACCAGGGCCCAGUGACCAGACCGCGGACCCCUAUUGGUUCCUGCAGAAACCACGUGUUAACCCAGCAUCUUCCUCCCACAAACUUUUUUUCUCGGGCCCUUCUAAUUCCUCUCCAACCCCCAGCCACCUUCUGGAAGGUUUGGUUUAUACUGACCGUUCUUAAAAGCAAGGAAAACGGGAGAGUGCGCGCGGCUCGUACCUCAGUGAAUACGGUACAAACGGGAGCUUCCGAGGUCAGCCCAGUGUUCCCCCGGGACUCUCCUAGAGGGUGUGCAGGAGUGGGCGGGUGUGUGUGGGUGGAACCCUUGCUCUGCAACCCGAGCCAGUCCUUCCGGCCAGGUCUUAGCUCAACUCCCCUCUCUUGGCAGAGGAAAACUCAGGUGGAGACCACUGGGCACCGGAGGUAGCGGAGGUGCAAGAAGGAGUUAUAGUGCGCGCAAGGCCAACCAGGGUCAGGCGGCUGGGAGCUCCUUCCAGGGAGUAGAGGCUAGACCCAGGAGGAGCAAGCCUUAACCUACUAAGAUGGAAAUGUCUCGCUUAAAGUCGAGUCCGGGUCUGGAAAGCCAGGAUCUGCCACUUCCCAGGAGGAGCAUCUUAGCCCCAGAGCGAAGAAAGGGCAUGGGAGCUAUAUUGGGGGUGCCCCCAGGCCACUUUGCAGGUUCCGCUAGAGGGUGGGGACGAGGAAAGGUAAUAGCCCCCGCCAGCGAGAAGGUGCGGGGCAGGGGCUCACCUUGCUCUUCAAGACCCCAAGUUUCUUCUUUUUCUCCCCUUGACGUCCUUAAAGUUGAUUGUCUUGAGCGGGCCUGCGUGUGUAUACGAACGCGGCGACUCCCGAAGGGAUGGGAUGUUUUGACGAGGAUUAGAUCUUCAGAAAAGCCCCUUGAACACGGCCGGCACCGAGAAAAGAGAGGCAGCGUGUACAAUGCUUUUGAACAAGGAGGUGGAGUCAACAGGUCUAGCCCCGGCUCUGGAACACAUCAACCGCCACGUACACUUUGGAAAAAAUAAGGAAAAUUUGAAAAGAAAACAAGAUCCAUCCAGAGGUUUGCUGAGAGGGUCAAAUGAGAUUUUGGAAGUGGAAAACCUUUCUAGCCCGUCGCAAGCGGUGCAAAUACGAGUCUUCGUUACCGACGGGGCGGCCUGGGCUCAGCCUCCCCGGGGUGAACUUGGAGAGCAGCGCCCACAUCGCGCUCGCCCACCGCUCGCGGGAGAGAGGCAGCCCUCGGUGGGAACCCGCACCUCGGCUCCCGAGCUCUCAGCUCGCCCCCCUCGGGGUCACUUCCUGCGGCUCGGGACCCUCGGGCGAGGGGAACUUGGCGGCAAACCGUCCGGGCCUCCGAGCCCCCACUUUUCCUCCCCCUCCACCCUAGGGCGCACUGAGCCGCGAGCGGGAGAGUGGAACCGGCUGCGCCGAUCCGGUCCCUUCCAGGUCCAUUUAAAGUAAAGAACACAGAUGGUCCAAAACCACACAGCCACCAGAAGAAAAUUAGAAUCCAGGCUUUCUCAGCACUGAUGCUGGUUUUCUUUCUGCCGCGCUCCUGUGCUACAAACGCAAAGCCAUCGCCCUUCACAACUGUGCUGUUCCACUUUAAUUUCCUCAAGAGAAGAAAGGAAGAUUUGAGAAAAAAAAAAGGGGGGGGGGAUUGAGGAGGAGGACAAUCUGACCAAAAGAACUGGACUAUUUUACGUACAGUUCUCUUUCUGAUUUUUAACCCGUAUUUACAUCUCAACUCAUGGAUUCUCGAAAUAACUCUGUGAGGUGUGUAAAGCAGUCAUUAUUUCUAGUUUACAAAGGAAGAAACCAAGACAAAGAAAGAUUAAGAAACCUGUUUUGGGUCACACUUUUCUCCUCAUUUUCUGCAAGGUGCUCUUUUGUUUAGAGCACAGAGACCAAGAUAAAUGCAGUGGCUUAGUUACCAUCUUUUCUUACGUUUCUUCCCACUUCUUUGCUCAGUAUUUCUUAGCACACUCGUUUCUAAGAAAAAUUCACUAUAUACUUUUGCACUUCCUUGAAAUUAUUACUCCAAUAUUUCCCAAAUUAUUCCAUUCAAUUCAGUAGUAUUUUCUGAGUGCUCAUUACAUACAGGGAAUAUAAUCAUGUAAUCUGUCAACUACAGCAGGACAUUUUAAAAAGAAAGGAAACACUCACUGGAUGGGAUGUCAGGCAUAAACCACAGCUGCUCCAGGAAGCCCAGGACAUAUGGUCACCCUAUAUAGAAGGUACUUUGCAAGCACUCAGGACACAAAGAUAAAUAGCACACAUUCCAUAAUCCUCCAGGAAUAUUCAGUCCAAUAAGAGAGACAUAGUUGAUCUUCUGCUGUAGAAUGUCACCAGCACAGCUUCAUCUGUUGAACUUGCAUUAAUGUAUCUAAUUUCACCCACUUGAUGAAGGAAAACAUUUUUAUUUAUAAUGAUAUUGUCAUGAUCAACAUCUAUGGUGGGGAUCUGAUGGUCGUAUUUAACAGGCUGGUUGAUGACUGGCACGUGCUUUUUUCCGCUGCCACAAGGCAGGCGUACAUGCGGUCACGUGCUUAAGCCCCUCCCCUCCACUAGCACAGCCCCCACCCCCACCCCCACGAAUGGCGGCUGCUCCCAGCACUCAUUCCUUCUAAUAGGUACUCUUUCACGGUUUGCUUUUUUCACUUAACAAUAUACCCCAGAAAUCACACCCUAUUUGUUCAAAGAGAACUUCCUUAUUCUUUUUUUUUUACAGUUGUCUCAUAUAUCAUUGUGUGAAUGUACCAUAGUUUAUGUAAACAUUCUUCUCUGAAUGAGUUAGGUUUUCCCAGUAUUUUGCAAUUACAAACAAUGUUGUAAUGAAAGACAUUGUUGCUAUGUAUAGUCACACGGUUAGAGAUGUACUUUCAGCGCAUAUUCCUAGAAGUGGGGUUGUGGGUCAGAAGCAAAUGCAUGUUUAAUUUAUUUGGGCUUGCCAAGUUCCCCUCCAGAAUGAUUGUAGAGGCUUGCACUCCACCAGCCGUGGGUCAAAGUGCCUGCCUUUACUGUAGCAUCCCGUUCAAAAUAAUGUAUUACACCUUCUAAUUUUCACCAAUCUGACAGAUGAGAAAUGGUAUCUCAGUGUUGUUUUAAUUUGCAUUUCUUGGAUUAUGAGUGAGAUGGAACAUCUUUUUAUAUGUUUAAGCGAUAUUUAUACAUGUGUGUAUAUGUGUAUCUAUACAUGUACAUGUAUAAUUAAUUAUAUGUACAAAUUAAAAAAACACGUAAGUACAUAUACAUAAAUACACAUACAUUUAAAUUGGAAGAGACACAAUUUAAAUUCCUUUCCCCCACUGUUAAAUGAAUUUUUAAGAGUUUCUUUAUAUAUUAGUGAUUUGGGCUAUCUGCGCUAUAUGUUACAUGUAUUUCCUCCUGUU